rnacentral:rRNA from 1 species
UACGUAGGGGGCGAGCGUUGUCCGGAAUUAUUGGGCGUAAAGAGCUCGUAGGCGGCUUGGCAAGUCGGAUGUGAAAACUCCAGGCUCAACCUGGAGCCGCCAUUCGAUACUGCUAUGGCUAGAGUCCGGUAGGGGAGUGUGGAAUUCCCGGUGUAGCGGUGAAAUGCGCAGAUAUCGGGAGGAACACCGAUGGCGAAGGCAGCACUCUGGGCCGGCACUGACGCUGAGGAGCGAAAGCGUGGGGAGCAAACAGGG